GAACCUGCGGAAGGAUCAUAGUAAUCGUCU
rnacentral:rRNA from 2 species